CUAUAUGCUCAAAUGUUUUGCGUAUAAGAUUCCGCCUCACUAUAGCUUGACCCCUCAGAGACUGAACUCAAUGCAAUUGCAGCGAGUGAGAUAGAAUCCACAAAAUUCUAUAAAACGCCGACCCCUAACUAUGUUAGGGUGAUGAUAUAGUCCAAUUCUUACAGCAAUGUAAGU
rnacentral:autocatalytically_spliced_intron from 1 species